rfam:Triticum aestivum genome assembly, contig: Triticum_aestivum_CS42_TGACv1_scaffold_114179_2AS
CAUGUACUCCCUCCAUUCCAAAUUAGUUGACUUGAAUUUGUCUAAAUAUGAAUGCAUCUAUAUUUAUUUAGUGUCUAGAUGCAUCCGUGUCUAGAUAAAUAUGGGUCAAGUAAUUUAGAACGAAGGGAGUAGAGA